rnacentral:rRNA from 1 species
UAGGUGUUGGNUCCUUUCCGGGACUCAGUGCCGCAGCUAACGCANUAAGCACUCCGCCUGGGGAGUACGACCGCAAGGUUGAAACUCAAAGGAAUUGACGGGGGCCCGCACAAGCGGUGGAGCAUGUGGUUUAAUUCGAAGCAACGCGAAGAACCUUACCAGGUCUUGACAUCCCUCUGACCGCUCUAGAGAUAGAGUUUUCCUUCGGGACAGAGGUGACAGGUGGUGCAUGGUUGUCGUCAGCUCGUGUCGUGAGAUGUUGGGUNNANNNNNNNNNNNNNCGCAACCCCUAUUGUUAGUUGCCAUCAUUCAGUUGGGCACUCUAGCGAGACUGCCGGUAAUAAACNNNNNNAAGGUGGGGAUGACGUCAAAUCAUCAUGCCCCUUAUGACCUGGGCUACACACGUGCUACAAUGGCUGGUACAACGAGUCGCGAGUCGGUGACGGCAAGCUAAUCUCUUAAAGCCAGUCUCAGUUCGGAUUGUAGGCUGCAACUCG